rnacentral:rRNA from 1 species
CCUACGAGUGGCAGCAGUGAGGAAUAUUGGUCAAUGGACGAGAGUCUGAACCAGCCAAGUAGCGUGAAGGAUGACUGCCCUAUGGGUUGUAAACUUCUUUUAUAAAGGAAUAAAACGAGGCACGUGUGCCUUUUUGCAUGUACUUUAUGAAUAAGGAUCGGCUAACUCCGUGCCAGCAGCCGCGGUAAUACGGAGGAUCCGAGCGUUAUCCGGAUUUAUUGGGUUUAAAGGGAGCGUAGAUGGGUCGUUAAGUCAGUUGUGAAAGGUUGCGGCUCAAACGUAAAAUUGCAGUUGAUACUGGCAGUCUUGAGUACAGGUGAGGUAGGCGGAAUUCGUGGUGUAGCGGUGAAAUGCUUAGAUAUCACGAAGAACCCCGAUUGCGAAGGCAGCUUACUAAACUGUUACUGACAUUGAGGCUCGAAAGUGUGGGUAUCAAACAGGAUUAGAUACCCUAGUAGUC